rnacentral:pre_miRNA from 12 species
AACAACUUAUCUGUAGAAUGAAAUGUGUGUAGUUUUAUAUCAUCUACAUAUAUUUCAUUCUACAGAUAAGUUGGUG